rnacentral:tRNA from 1 species
GCCCUAGUAGCUCAAAAUCAGAGCGUCGACCUUGUAAGCCGAAUGCUGGAGGUUAAAAUCCUUCCUAGUGCU